rnacentral:rRNA from 1 species
AGGACGAACGCUGGCGGCGUGCUUAACACAUGCAAGUGGGGCGACGAACCAGGCUUCGGCCUGGGGCAAAGCCGCGAACGGGUGAGUAACACGUGGAUAACCUGCCCCGAAGACCGGGACAACCCGGGGAAGCCCGAGCUAAUACCGGAUGUGGUCACCGUCCAUAAGGACGAUGAGCAAAGGAGCUUCGGCCUCCGCUUCGGGAGGGUCCGCGGCCCAUUAGCUUGUUGGUGAGGUAACGGCUCACCAAGGCAACGAUGGGUAGCUGGUCUGAGAGGACGAUCAGCCACACUGGGACUGAGACACGGCCCAGACUCCUACGGGAGGCAGCAGGUGGGAAUCUUGCGCAAUGCGCGAAAGCGUGACGCAGCAACGCGCGUGGUGAAGAAGGCUUUCGGACGUAACGCCCUUGAGCGAGGACGAAGCUCGGUAGCGAAUAGCUGUACGG